rnacentral:misc_RNA from 1 species
UGAGAGAAAAUGGCUUAGUUGCCUGGAGAGAAUAAAAAUAUGCUAAAAUGAAUUGAGUCUAUAGUUUUUUGCCCAAAAAAAGGUUUUCCUACUGCAUUUCACAUGAAAAAGGUCAAAAAAAGCCAAGCAUUUUUAACUGAAAAAGUAACGGCCAUUACAACCAUUGCAUAACGGUCGAUAACUGCUGUUACCUUUAAAUAAGUGCCGUAAUGGCCUUUAUAGUUACAAAUUUAAAAUUCGUUAAAUAACGGUGAUAACGAUA